AUCGCUUCUCGGCCUUUUGGCUAAGAUCAAGUGUGUAGUAUUUGUAUCAUUUAUUAUUCCUAUGAGCCUUGUUUAUAAAACCCAAUUUAAAAUUAUUCAAAACAACA